rnacentral:rRNA from 1 species
AACCCUAAUUUUGUAAUUAGGGUUGUGCUUAAUGCAUGUUAAUCACUAAAUUUAAAAGUUUAGUUGCAAUUAAAGUAAAAUUAUCAAUCCUGUUUUCGCUGCAAAUCUUUGCUAUCCAUCAUCAUUUAAAUUUCUGUCCUAUCAACUUUCGAUGGUAAGAUACUGGCCAUUAUGGUGGUGAUGGGUGACAAACAAUUAGGGUUUGAUUUUAGAGAGAAAGCUGGAGAAACGCCUACCACAUCUAAGGAAGGCAACAGGUGCAAAAAUUGCUCAAUCCUAACACGGGGUUGUAAUGACAAUAAAUAACAAUACUAGGCUCUUUGAGUCUGGUAAUUAGAAUGAGUACAAUCUAAAUCCCAUAACAAUGAUCAAUUAGAAUGAAAAUCAAGUGUCAGCAGCGCGGUAAUUCUAGCUCCAAUAGCAUAUAUUUAAGUUGUUGUAGUUAAAAAGCUCAUAAUUGGACCUUGGGUUGGGUCGAUAUGUCCUUCUAUGAUGAGCACUAGCCAGCUCGUCCCUUUUGCCGGUAAUGCGAUCAUGGCCUUAGCUAGUCGGGUUGUGACUUUAGCAUUGUUACUUUGAAGAAAUUGAAGUGCUUAAAGCAAGCCUACACUCUAAUACGUUAGCAUUGGAUAACAUCAUAGAAUUUCAACCAUAUUCUGUUGGCUUUCGAGAUCAAAGUAAUCAUUAAUAGGGAUAGUCAGGGGUAUUUGUAUUUCAUAGUGAGAGGUGAAAUUCUUGAAUUUAUGAAAGACGAACAAGUGCCAAAGCAUUUGCCAAGGAUGUUUUCAUUGAUGAAGAAUGGAAGUUGGGGGCUUAAAGGUGAUCAACUACCAUCCCAGUCUCAACCAUAAAUGAUGUCGACUAGGGAUUUACGAUAUUGCUUUAAUGACUUCGCCAACACCUUAUCAAAAUCAAAAUCUUUGGGUUUCAAGGGGUGUAUGGUCACAAGGCUGAAACUUAAGGGGGUUGUUUGUCCCAUGGGUUUGGAAUUAGGGUGACUUGACAUUUGAAACCAAAC